CCUACGGGACGCAGCAGUGGGGAAUAUUGCGCAAUGGGGGGAACCCUGACGCAGCAACGCCGCGUGAAGGAGGAAGUAUUUCGGUAUGUAAACUUCUAUCAGCAGGGAAGAAGGAAGUGACGGUACCUGCAUAAGAAGCCCCGGCUAAUUACGUGCCAGCAGCCGCGGUAAUACGUAAGGGGCAAGCGUUAUCCGGAUUUACUGGGUGUAAAGGGUGAGUAGGCGGUUCGGCAAGUCAUAUGUGAAAUACCCGGGCUUAACCCGGGAACCGCAUAAGAAACUGUCGAACUUGAGUACAGGAGAGG
rnacentral:rRNA from 1 species